UACAGAGGUCUCAAGCGUUGUUUCGGAUUCAUUGGGCGUAAAGGGGUGCGUAGGCGGGCGCGGUAAGUCGGGUGUGAAAUCUCGGAGCUUAACUCCGAAACUGCAUUCGAUACUGCCGUGCUUGAGGACUGGAGAGGAGACUGGAAUUACGGUGUAGCGGUGAAAUGCGUAGAUAUCGUAAGGAAGACCAGUGGCGAAGGCGGGUCUCUGGACAGUUCCUGACGCUGAGGCACGAAGGCCAGGGGAGCAAACGGG
rnacentral:rRNA from 1 species